rnacentral:rRNA from 1 species
GUUUGAUCCUGGCUCAGGAUGAACGCUAGCGGCAGGCUUAAUACAUGCAAGUCGAACGGGAUUCGGGGUAGCAAUACUUUGAUGAGAGUGGCGCACGGGUGCGUAACGCGUAUGCAACCUACCUUUAACAGGGGAAUAGCCCCGAGAAAUCGGGAUUAAUACUCCGUAACAUUGCGGUGUGGCAUCACACUGCAAUUAAAGAUUUAUCGGUUAAAGAUGGGCAUGCGUGACAUUAGCUAGUUGGUGAGGUAACGGCUCACCAAGGCAACGAUGUCUAGGGGUCCUGAGAGGGUUAUCCCCCACACUGGUACUGAGACACGGACCAGACUCCUACGGGAGGCAGCAGUAAGGAAUAUUGGUCAAUGGGCGCAAGCCUGAACCAGCCAUGCCGCGUGCAGGAAGACGGCCCUAUGGGUUGUAAACUGCUUUUAUCAGGGAAUAAACCCCCGCUCGUGAGCGGGGCUGAAGGUACCUGAAGAAUAAGCAUCGGCUAACUCCGUGCCAGCAGCCGCGGUAAUACGGAGGAUGCAAGCGUUAUCCGGAUUCAUUGGGUUUAAAGGGUGCGCAGGCGGAUUGGUAAGUCAGGGGUGAAAUCCCACAGCUCAACUGUGGAACUGCCUUUGAUACUGUCAGUCUAGAGUAUAGUUGAAGUUGGCGGAAUGUGUCAUGUAGCGGUGAAAUGCUUAGAUAUGACACAGAACACCGAUCGCGAAGGCAGCUAGCUAAGCUAUAACUGACGCUCAUGCACGAAAGCGUGGGGGUCAAACAGGAUUAGAUACCCUGGUAGUCCACGCUGUAAACGAUGAUUACUCGAUGUUGGCGAUACACAGUCAGCGUCUGAGCGAAAGCAAUAAGUAAUCCACCUGGGGAGUACGAUCGCAAGAUUGAAACUCAAAGGAAUUUGACGGGGGCCCGCACAAGCGGAGGAGCA